rnacentral:misc_RNA from 1 species
UCUCCGUAGGUGAACCAGCGGAGGGAUCAUUACAGGACUCGCAAGACUCCUACAACCCUGUGAACUUAACUAUAAGCACGUUGCUUCGGCGGGUGUCUCGGAGGGGGUUCUCCCUCCCCGAGACGCUAAACCCGCCGGCAGCCUACUAUACUCUGUCUCUUUGCGUUGGCAUCUCGAGUACAAUCAAACAAGUUAAAACUUUCAACAACGGAUCUCUUGGUUCUG